GGAAGGGUCGCUCAGCGGUAGAGCACCGCGGCGCCGUCAGGCCCGCGGCGGCCAUCGUGCCUCGUGGCGUUCAAAUCCCACCCCUUCCG
rnacentral:tRNA from 1 species